UUGAACCCAUUAGUUUCAAUAAGUUUUAACGGGGUAUGUGGCUCCACCCUUUGUGUGUGUCGGUGUGAGUAUAUAUGGUUUCUCUAUGUAUGGAAUUGUUUGCCAUCUCAAAGUUUAGCUGCAAAGAUUUAUGGUAAUAAUUUCCAGAAAAUCCAAAACCUGAUUCCAGCUUGUGAAAAUAAAUUCAUGACAGAAAGGGAGAAGAAGAGGAGGACCAGAAUUAUUUUGAAAAUAGUUUCUAGAAUAGUUCUCAAAUUUGUAACAUGUGAACUUUUACAAGCUUAAUUUUAACUUUAUUUGCUUUACUAUGAGGUGGAUAUUUCAAGCGUAUUAUUCAAGAAAUUGUCAAAAGGGUCAUUCUUGUGUGCCUAUUGCAGGGAACAUCUUUGCUUUUGGACUAUUUAUAUCACCAAUAUCUCUCUCUCAGUGAACGUGCACAUGUUUCCAAAAUCACCAACAUGAAGAUGCCACGGUGAAGGCCAUAAAAUAUAUAAAAGUCAAAGAGUAUCAUUUAUACCCAACUUUGGUGGUGUGCUAUUUAUACAGUAAUGCUCUAUCUCAGCCUACGUUUCAUUUUCCAUUUAGGACUCUACUUGUCUACCUAGUAUUCCUUAUCUAAAAUUUAUCUUCCUAAUUGGGUUGGGUUUAUCGCCUUAAGAAUAUCAUUUAUACCCAACUUCGGAGCCGCGUCCAAUGUCACAACCUAAACCAUUAUCAUCCUACCACAUGCACCACAAUCCGAUAUCGUACAAUAUAAAUGAGAUCUUGAACCAAUGUGGUGCCACUCAAAAAUACGUUCUCACACUUAAUUAAAUCAAUGUGUUCUGUAAGGAGAACACAAAGGGACUAACAAGAGACCCAUGUUUUCUAGUCUUAAAUUUUCACAAGAUCAACAACCUAAUCAUUUGCAGCAGCAUCUCACAUUUUUUAGCCUUGAAUUUUCUCAUUUCUUUUCUGUAAUUCUUACCGCCAAAUAUAGCUUCCUCUUCUUUUUUUGAAUCUGCCCAUUCUUGUUGUUCUAUGAUUCUAACUGUUGUUAAAAAACCCAAUUGUUGCAUUGAAAAUUUACUUAAUUUGCAAUAGCACUAUGUUUGUGAAAUUACGGAGUCCAAAGUGCUUAAAGGGGAUGAAUAGGUCAACCAAUUAAAAUUAUUGAUUUUAAGUUUAAUUUUAGUUGAUCAAACAGAUUGAAUCAUGAAUAAACAAUCAACACAUGAAUAUCAUAUUUUACAUGAAAAACCCAACAGGAUUGGUGAAACACAACAGGUGGGAAAUUUUGACAUUAAGUUCUUGCAAUCUACGGGAGCAUUUGGUGGGUGAGAUUGAUAUAUUUAAUUUUGUUGGCUAUAUACAUGGUGGAUUUCUUUAUCCUUUCCUGCACUGUUAUUAUGUGGGUGAGGUUGCAUUAUUCAAUUUGAUAAAGCCUCAAUUCCAAGUCCUUGUGGCUACAGAAUCAUCUUCUACCAUUCAGCUCUGUUUAGAGACAUGUCUCUCUGAUACAUUGUAGGCAAUUAUUUUCCUUCCUCCUUUACCAUUGUUUGUUCUCUUGUGUAAUGGGUAUAACAUUGUCUAUUCUCUAAUUUACAUAUUUAAUUCUUCAUUGUGGUAUUUUUCUUCAAAUUUAUCAGACAUGCACUAGUAGUUUGCUAAUUCAAUAUCCAGUGAUUUUGAUUUUGAUGACUUUCUUCUCAGUUGUAAUGUUUUGUACAGAUUGCAUUCAUGUCAUGUUGUUUACAAUUGAGUCUUAAUCAUGUGCAGGGAAUCCUUACAUAUACCCCUCGCUUGCUUUUAAUUGGUUUUCAAGAUUGCUUUUGCGUGAGCUAUUGUGGAUAUUUAUUUUUGUGUACAAAGAGCAUUUAUUCUGUAUAUGGCAUCUAUUUGUGUACAAUUCUCUGUUUUGGAAAUACAGUGUUUUUGAAUGUAAUAUUUAAUUUAGAUGAAUUAUACUUGGUUAGAAUGAAUUUAUAUGAUACUUGGAAUAAGAUGUUAUAAGUUAAAGUUUUUGGAUA